UACGAGGGGUGCAAGCGUUGCUCGGAAUUAUUGGGCGUAAAGGGUAGGUAGGUUGUUCCAUUUGUCUUUGGUGAAAGCCCUGGGCUUAACCUAGGAAGUGCCAAGGAAACGGUGGAACUGGAGUCCCGGAGAGGAUUGUAGAAUUCCCAGUGUAGCGGUGAAAUGCGUAGAGAUUGGGAGGAAUACCAGAGGCGAAGGCGGCAAUCUGGACGGGAACUGACACUAAACUACGAAAGCGUGGGGAGCAAACAGG
rnacentral:rRNA from 1 species